rnacentral:rRNA from 1 species
CUACGGGUGGCACCAGUGAGGAAUAUUGCACAAUGGGGGGAACCCUGAUGCAGCAACGCCGCGUGGAGGAUGACGCAUUUCGGUGUGUAAACUCCUUUUAUAUGUCAAGAAAAUGACGGUAGCAUAUGAAUAAGCACCGGCUAGCUCCGUGCCAGCAGCCGCGGUAAUACGGAGGGUGCAAGCGUUACUCGGAAUCACUGGGCGUAAAGGACGCGUAGGCGGGUUAUCAAGUCAGGUGUGAAAUCCUACAGCUUAACUGUAGAACUGCACUUGAAACAGGUAACCUAGAGUAUGGGAGGGGCAGAUGGAAUUAGUGGUGUAGGGGUAAAAUCCGUAGAUAUCACUAGGAAUACCUAAAGCGAAGGCGAUCUGCUGGAACAUAACUGACGCUAAGGCGUGAAAGCGUGGGGAGCAAACAGGAUUAGAUACCCGCGUAGUC